rnacentral:lncRNA from 1 species
AUGCUGGACAUCAGACCAGAAGAGGACCUUGUGCUGCAAGGACACAAUGACCACAAGGAGCACUUCAGCAGUAAAGUGCCAUACUCUGCUGAACAAACUUGGCAUCUCGUCAAGCUGACUUAUUUGGGAUGGGAUUGGACCUUCACGUCCCUUUGCAUAGCUUCUCUUAGUGAAACCCCAAGAAUGCAGGCUAACCAAGGUGGAUACUGAAGAACCUGCCUUCUUCUAUACAUGAGGUAUAACUUCUUUUCCAUUCAGAGCCUUCUCUACUGAUGCUUGCUCUUUCCUGCAUAGCUUUUCAUCUUUGGCUGACUCUUUUCUGACAGUUCUCCAUUACACAGUAAUGUGAAUUUUUUAUGGAUUGAUGUUGAAAUGAUUUUCAGGGGCUACAGUGUCAUUUUUAUGCCCCUUACUUUGAAUUUUCCAGGAGAUCUGUCCGUUGAUUCGUUACAAACAGUAAAUUUAGGUGAUGGUCAAAGCUGAAUCACAUGAAAUAAAUACUCAAUUUCUAAACUGCUAACA